AUAAGGUAUAGUCAUUCUCUUCACUGCCGGACUUCACAAUCCAAGCAUCACUGACAGUGAAUUGUGGAAAAAGAUGGCCUUAUUCACUAUGUUAAUUAUUUUUUAGCUUGUCUGCAUGUUGACAGUUUAAGGGGUGCUGUUGGUUCUACACAGAUAGACUGUGUACAUGGUAGCAGUAGAAAUCUAGGCAGGGUCGAUUAGGGAUAUGGAGGAGGAGUUCUAGAGACUAUCACUAAUAUCAGCCCGGAUGAUCGUCUAGUUCUGGAGCCAUAUCUCAGUGCCGUUGCUAUAAAAUAUUUGGAGCUGGUUUACACUGCUGGAAGCUCAACCGCUACUGUACGUAUCAUCA